rnacentral:rRNA from 1 species
GAUGAACGCUGGCGGCGUGCUUAACACAUGCAAGUCGAACGAAGCACUUUAUUUGAUUUCCUUCGGGACUGAUUAUUUUGUGACUGAGUGGCGGACGGGUGAGUAACGCGUGGGUAACCUGCCUCGUACAGGGGGAUAACAGUUGGAGACGGCUGCUAAUACCGCAUAAGCGCACGGCAUCGCAUGAUGCAGUGUGAAAAACUCCGGUGGUAUAAGAUGGACCCGCGUUGGAUUAGCUAGUUGGUGAGGUAACGGCCCACCAAGGCGACGAUCCAUAGCCGACCUGAGAGGGUGACCGGCCACAUUGGGACUGAGACACGGCCCAAACUCCUACGGGAGGCAGCAGUGGGGAAUAUUGCACAAUGGGCGAAAGCCUGAUGCAGCGACGCCGCGUGAGCGAAGAAGUAUUUCGGUAUGUAAAGCUCUAUCAGCAGGGAAGAUAAUGACGGUACCUGACUAAGAAGCACCGGCUAAAUACGUG